rnacentral:rRNA from 1 species
GACGAACGCUGGCGGCGUGCUUAACACAUGCAAGUCGAACGGAAAGGCCCUGCUUGCAGGGUACUCGAGUGGCGAACGGGUGAGUAACACGUGGGUGAUCUGCCCUGCACUUCGGGAUAAGCCUGGGAAACUGGGUCUAAUACCGGAUAGGAGCCAUUUUUAGUGUGAUGGUUGGAAAGUUUUUUCGGUGUAGGAUGAGCCCGCGGCCUAUCAGCUUGUUGGUGGGGUAAUGGCCUACCAAGGCGGCGACGGGUAGCCGGCCUGAGAGGGUGGACGGCCACAGUGGGACUGAGAUACGGCCCAGACUCCUACGGGAGGCAGCAGUGGGGAAGAUUGCACAAUGGGCGCAAGCCUGAUGCAGCGACGCCGCGGGGGGGAUGACGGCCUUCGGGUUGUAAACGCCUUUCGCUAGGGACGAAGCUUUUUGUGACGGUACCUAGAUAAGAAGCACCGGCUAACUACGUG